rnacentral:rRNA from 1 species
UACGUAGGGGGCGAGCGUUGUCCGAAGUUACUGGGCGUAAAGCGCACGUAGGCGGCUUUUUAAGUCAGGGGUGAAAUCCUGGAGCUCAACUCCAGAACUGCCUUUGAUACUGGGAAGCUUGAGUCCGGAAGAGGUGAGUGGAACUCCGAGUGUAGAGGUGAAAUUCGUAGAUAUUCGGAAGAACACCAGUGGCGAAGGCGGCUCACUGGUCCGGUACUGACGCUGAGGUGCGAAAGCGUGGGGAGCAAACAGG